UGAUCUAGAGGAAACUGGGCUUCAGGGAU
rnacentral:piRNA from 1 species